rnacentral:lncRNA from 10 species
GUUUCCUAACUUUUCCAUAUAAUGUUUCACACCCAUCUUGUACCUAACCUACCCAGCCCUGGAGUCCACCAGAUGUUUGAAGGGCUCUAGUUUUUGUAGUGUGAAAAUGUUACCAAGGAACAAUAUCUGGGUACAAGGUAGGCUUAUUGCUGUCGAGUGUCUUUGCUUCUAACCCUGUUAGGGGUCAGAGCUGGGAAAUACGUGCAUGUACACAUACACACCUCUGUGUAAGCAUACAUACAUGUAAGUGUGUGUGUGUGUGUGUGUGUAUAUAUAUAUAUGCACAUAUACAUGCAUAUAUGUGCGUGUAUAAAACAGACAAGUCCCACAAUGUCCUUUCUCUUCCUGUUAUCCCCACCCCUUGUACAUGACAGUGAUGUUCUAAGGUGGUCUCUCACCAGCUCCUGGAGCCACUUCUGCACAUCUCUUCCCAGCUCUGUGUUUAGUGACAUCAUGCGGAUCCCUGGAGUCGCUCUGUACCAGGGUGGAGUGAUCGUCCUCAUUCUUCCUUUUGCUUCCUCUGCUGCCCAGUGCUGCGUCCUCGUCUGGGUUUCAUGAUGGUGGGAUGAUGACGUAGUUUACGAUAUUUUGCAGUUACACCCAGUGCAGUGGUAUUUUUAUCUGUGGCAUCCUCCUGUAGUCUCAGCAUUUUGGGAGGCUGAAGAUGAGAGGGUUGCUUGAGGCCAGGAGUUCAAGACAAACCUAGGCAACAUAGCAACCCUGUCUCUCCAAAAAAAAAAAAAAAAAAA